rnacentral:tRNA from 1 species
GUAGCUCAGCUUGGUAGAGCACUUGGUUUGGGACCAAGGGGUCGCAGGUUCGAAUCCUGUC